GUUACAUUAAAUUCUAGGUAAAUUUUUGAUUAUGACAUAGUUUAUCUAUAAGUCUUGACCAAAUCAUGUGCCAGCAGUCGCGGUAAGACAUGGAAGACAAGUGUUAUUCAUGAUUAGUGGGUUUAAAGGGUACUCAGACAGUUAAUUAAGCCUAUAUAUUAUGCAGGUACUAAUUAUACUAGAGUUUUAUAGAAGAAGGCUAGAACGGUGAGUGGAGAGAUGAAAUAUGUUGAUACCACCUAGAUACUGACAACGGUGAAGACAACCUUUUAUGUAAUAACUGACGUUAAAGGACGAAGGCUCAAGAGAAAGCAACAGGAUUAGGUACCCCAGUACUGUGGGCAGACAAUUAUGAGUGUCAUAGGUAAGUUUUUUAAUUUAAUUAAUAAAUUAUAAGUUUACGUAUAAAUGAAAGUGUAAGCACUCCACCUUAAGAGUAACAUGGCAACAUCGGAACUGAAAUCAUUAGACCGUUUCUGAAACCAGUAGUGAAGUAUGUUGUUUAAUUUGAUGAUCCACAAAGAACCUUACCACAAUUUGAAUUACUCACAGGAGUUGCACGGCUGUCUUCAGUUGAUAUCGUGAGAUUUUGGUUAGAUCCAUCAAUCAACGUAAACCCUUACUUUAUUUUUUUCAUAAAG
rnacentral:rRNA from 1 species